rnacentral:rRNA from 1 species
AGACUUUGAUCAUGGCUCAGAUUGAACGCUGGCGGCAGGCCUAACACAUGCAAGUCGAGCGGCAGCGGGUCCUUCGGGAUGCCGGCGAGCGGCGGACGGGUGAGUAAUGCCUAGGAAUCUGCCUGGUAGUGGGGGAUAACUCGGGGAAACUCGAGCUAAUACCGCAUACGUCCUACGGGAGAAAGCGGGGGAUCUUCGGACCUCGCGCUACCAGAUGAGCCUAGGUCGGAUUAGCUAGUUGGUGAGGUAAAGGCUCACCAAGGCGACGAUCCGUAGCUGGUCUGAGAGGAUGAUCAGCCACACUGGAACUGAGACACGGUCCAGACUCCUACGGGAGGCAGCACGUGGGGAAUAUUGGACAAUGGGCGAAAGCCUGAUCCAGCCAUUGCCGCGCUGUGUGAACGAACGGUCUUCGGAUUGU